rnacentral:lncRNA from 1 species
AUCCCAAAUUCAAAUUAAAUAUACCAAUAAAAAUCAACUUACUACAUCACCACUUGCAAAAUAUAACUCUCCAAACAUUACUAUGGAGUAAACAAAAAAAAAACAGAACAUAUAUAUGUCUUACAAUUUUUCUUUAGUUUAGAAGGUUUGAUAAGUUACCAAACCUCUUGAAUUGCAACUACAGCUUCAGCUUGCCAACGAUUUAUGUCUGGAGCAAAUCGGUAGCUAACAGUCCAAUACCUACAAAAUUCCACAUAGAACAUCAAUUUACUGGAACAAUAGUGGUCAAAAUAAUAAUAUAUGACUUAUGUAACUAUUCACAAGUAAUGGUACUAUGACUUGAGAACAAUUCAGGGACAACAUGAAACUGAAAAAAGAUCAUCAAUACAAACUACUACAGCAGCAAUAAAAUUAUUAUUGCAAUUCCACCCAAAGUAUAUGGACGACAUCCCAUUGCCUCAGCACUAACAUAGCACAUUAUUUUUCUUAAUUGAACAAUUGGGCAAUAAACUGAUUUAAACAACAAAGUUGAGUUAGUAAAGGAAGAUAUGGUAGCUAUUAAAAAAACAUAUCUUACAUCUAGAUCAUACUUUUUAAAACAAUCUUCACAUAGUGCCCUAUCAUAUGUCCUCUUUGUUUUAUUUAUUUUCCACAUUAGCAUGUUGCAUCAAAGCUGGACAUUGACAACAAAUAUGCCCCUCACUAUAAUCACUAAGGAGGAAAUAUUUAUAUUGGUAGACAGUGUCAUACCGGUUGGAAAACUACUGGUUUUUUGUUGAGUUAGGAGCUCUGUCAAUGGAAGAAACAAAUGUAUAAUGAUUUGGUACCGGAAGAGACAACCGAAGCAAUGAGCCCAAUGAAGUUAAACACAAUUUCAAAUAACUUCAGAGGUUUCUAGCAAGAAGUGAAAGAUUUUAUAGGUUCUGGAAAACAAAUGCAAACCGAAACUCAAUCAUUCGGUUAGUUGAUUAUGUGGUUCUGUUUUGGUUUUAGAAGUGUUCAAACCACCGUGAGGCAAUCUUAAUGUAGAAGACAUGAAAUAUUAUAGUUUGUGCGGAAAUGUGCAUAAGAAUAUUGUGUAUUGUUGUUGUAUUUGAUUGUGGAGCAUAUGCACAGUAAUCCCAGAAUUUGUAAUUGAUAACUCAAGGAAUAGAUAUGAUUUCUGCAUUUACCUGUUACAAAAUGGUUGAGUUGAUGUUUAUCGAUGCUUAAUGCAGGCUAGCAAGCAGGCUGAGGACGCUCCCAAGAAGAUAAUCAGAGUUCAAAAGCGCUGUUGGAGAUCCAUACCACAUUUGUCG